GCCACAAUCAGAAGAUUUGUUUUCAUCCAUAAAGGAAAUCUAUGCAAUUCUUUUGCAUCAAGACACAUGAUUUGUGCCAAUGACCAUUAGCAAACCAUAUAGACACUGUUGAUCUUUGAAGGAAAGUCCAAAACAGUGGAAGCUACAGUUAUACCUUAUUAGCAGUGAUGCACCAUCUACUUUCAAAUCAAAAUCAGAACAACUUUAUUGUCUACCCUUGUUGCACGAAAGUAGAAACCCAUCUUCUUUCUCUUCUUUUGGGGCCGCAGGAGGAUUUUUCGCUGCAAUUACACGGGUUACUAUACGUUAGCCACAGCAUGGCUGGAGAGAAGCACAGCCAGCUAGCUUCCGCUAGCCUCCCAGCUAGCCCUGGCUUUACGUGUGAAUCCAGCCAAAACACCAAGCCUCAGUUUGUUAUUCAGUUUAAAGCGGGAAGAAGCGGCAGGUCUGUCGGGCAGCUGAGGGAAAUGGAGCCUGUGGAGGAAGCACCGGGACCGUCAGGGAUUCAUUCAGUAGGAGAGUGAUGCCCCUACAGGGAGAUGAAAGGAGGAAGUGCUUUGUAAAUGAGUAACCUCUAUGCGCCUCACUUCAGCCAUUGUUCGUUAGGAGAGGUGAAUGUGUGUGUGAGAAUGAGAGGGAGAAAACUGGUGUGAGUGUUUUUGUGUAAAUCACAGGGAAACAAAAAGAGAAGAAGAAAAGAAAAAGAGAAAAGGUGAGUGCUUCUCUGCCACUGCAGUUUUCUUCUGAAGUAUGUGUAGACAUGAGGGCUGAUGUCUCCCGAGAGUCUACUACACAUUAGACCCAGGCAAUCACACACCAUCAGGCCUCUGCACAUUAGCUGCCUGAAUCCUAAUUAGAUCCAUUCCUAUGCAUACACACAUUCACACACACAGUCCAUAAAAGAAUCCCCUUAUGAUCACAUCCGAUGCCAAGUGAUGUGAAUCAGCUCAUAGUUCAGAUUCAAUGUUGGAGCUGCAGCACAACUAGAGGGAAUAACAUCUAACUUGAUGGUCAUAUUUGAGAUUUCAGCGGUUCUUUUGUGCUUGGGUUUAGUUAUUUCAAUUUGGCUUCAUGUCGUGCAAUUGCAUGAUUUUGUGAUCAGAUUGGCAAAUACACAAUGUUUUCUUUUGAAAUGGCAGCAGUUGAGGCAUUAUUGUUGCCCAAUGAACCAAAGAAACAUACUUGUAGAUAUCAUGAAUACUUCUGCUCUGUUCAUUCUCCAUCUGUCCUCUUUGUCCUCUCAUUUAAAAUGUCAACUAAUAAAAUCUAGAUUAUAGUAACUUCCACGUUUGAAGUUAUAGAUUGAUGUGAUGAACAUUUCUUCAGUGUCCACAUUCUGGACGCGACUUAUCAUCCUUCAAAGGAUUCCUCGUUUUUAAUCUCAUUGCUUACAAAGCCCCCAGCUCAGCUCUCUGUGGUUGACACCACAUGGGUUCAAUGGAAAACACUUGUUAAAAGACUGAUGCUGCUACAUCAGCCAGUGAUUCACGACAAAGGGGUCCAACCGCGUCACCAAAAUAUGAAAAUAUAUGCUUCUCUUGUAGGUAGCCAUAAGUAAAUACAUCUUUGCAACAUCAGUGGUCGGGCAGCUGAGGGAAACAGUGGUCUAGAUGGUUGCCAGUAGGGUUGGGUAAUAUGGAUAAAAUCCUCCAUCACAAUACAUGUAAUUUUACAUAACACAUCAAUAUAUGAUCAUGAUAUAGUACACUUUGGGAAAAAUCUAUUAAGAAACUGUUUAUGGAUACAGUAAGGUAAGGUAUUUUUGGUUAAUCCAGUGACUUUAAAUACCUGACAAGUCAAGGUACUUCUUCAGUAAUUGUAAAGGUGUGUUCAGACAGAACAGCUGUAUGCUAGCUAGCAACGGACACACUGACCAUGUCAGUUCUUUCUGUUAAUUCUUUCCAGUCCUUCUCCUUUCUUGUCUCUGUAUGUCUAUGAAGCAGAAUUGUAAAGCUCCGGGAUGCACAAGUUGAAACAUUUUCAACUCACAUGGAUGCGUUUAUUUGCACCACCCCAGGCUAAUUUGCAUCUUUCCAAUUGACUUUAUAUGCAAUCUGCCUGAACACACAGUAAGAAUCAUAAAAAAUCCAAUAUUACCCAACAACAGUCCUGCUGAUUGGUUUGUAAUAAAGCUAUAAUACAUUUAGAGGUAUCAAGGAGAUACAUACAAAUAUAUAAACGGUAUGGCAAAAUCUCAAAGUUCUAUUUUCUCGUGGUCAUAUCACCCACCGUGAGUCGCCAGUACGGUGAAGCUUUGCCUCACAGAUCUGAUGCCAUUUAGCCCUAUUCACAUGGGACUAGUAUUACCUGGGGACCUCUAGUAAUUUGUAAUAAUUGUGGAAGUCAUCUGUGAUCUUAAUCCCAUUUGAAUCUGCCAUGUCUCGUAAUUUGUAAAGUAAAAUUCCACUGCAAAUUACCUACCAUAUUUCACCAAACACAGAGGUCAUGUGAUAAUAUUAGUCCCAUGCCAAUCAGCAUCUUGGUGAUUUGGGGUCUUUUUUUUUUAGCAAGGUUUUUUGUUUUUGUUUUAUGUUAUUGUCAGAAUAAGGACACUUAAUAGGGUCUGAUCCAGUUUUGAGGCUGUCACCGUACGGGACUUUCUUCACAGGUAGUCCAACCCUUCUAUACACUUGGUCCAAUCUCCAGAGUCCUGUACAGAUGGCACCGGAACAAGAGGUCUAUGUGCAUAACGAGGCCGUUGCUCUUGUCGUUCAAGACAUGGUUGCAGAGGAAAAUCGUGUACAGGAAGUGGAAACGGUGCAAAUGCACAGCACAAAACGUAGAUGUGGGGCAGGUAAUGUCUAAAUCACAUGAGGUCCCCAGGUAAUACUAGUCCUGUGUGAAUAAGGCUUUAGUCUUCAUCACAAUGUUUGUGUUCUCAUAUGUCUGUGAGACGCUGGAGCCAGCAGCAGCAGCAGUAGUAUGAAGUGUGAAGUGUGUUUGUAUGUGUGUCUGUGUUUUCCAUGCAUGGAUGCAGAGAGGGAUGGCGAAAUUAUCAUCUCUGUCUCAAUGAGUCCAAGCUGGCCUCAUGGUGACUGAGCCCGGCAGUGGCCAUCUGGACUGGCUGGCAGUUCCCGGCUAAUGGAGCGCAGGCUGGCGUUUUGGCUGGCAGGAUGAGUCUUCAGUUUGGAUAAUGACUAUAGUGAUGAAAUGGGGUGUAGAUUUUGAACUUGGCUGUGAGAACAUCAUGCAGUAAGUAGCUUCCAUUGCUGGUUGGGCAACAUCUUGGACACUGGAGCAUAAAUAGCACUGUGAGUAAUAACUAGCUGCAGGAUAAUGUUGAUGGACCUCUUAAUUAAAUCAAACCUGCUACUCAAAUCUAGUUUUGUUGUGCUACAACGGUUCAGUUUGUCUAAUGGAGGAGCUAUACUUAAGAUACGUUUAAGAGCCCUGAAAGCAAGCUUUUAAAUUCAAAGGAUAAUUUAUGUUUGGAACCCGACAAAGCUGUCCAAUUACUCCAGUGAGUCUUUUGCCAGCAGCAUAAUCAAUUCAAUGGGAAAAAAAUCUGCCACUGCUAAUCAGGUUCAUUAAUGUAAUUAUUGAUCCAAACAACACACUCUCCUGAUGGCUUAUUAUAACUAUUUGCUUGUUGUCUUUUACUCAGGUUUAAUCCUUGAAUUUAUCAAAUCAGCCAACAGGGAGUUUUGAUGUUGGCAAAUAUGUCAAGGCUUUAAAAGAAGGCUACAGAAGAGAGUUUAAAAUAGAACAUGAAGAGCAAAGUGGGAAUUUACUGUGGGAAUGUAAUGUACAGCAUGGUUUCCACUAGCUUAUAGGCUUGUUUGUCUCUGUGUUAGUUAGUAUGGGAAGGAUUCAGCAGACCUCAUUUGAGGCAGGCAGAGAAAAGACCAGCUCAACAAAAACAGGGGCCUGAUACCCCUCCGGCGUUGCAGAGGUCACUGUGGGAGGCCUCUUUCGUGCUUAUCUUCUUUUUCUCUAUUUAUCUCCCUGCUGCUGCCUCUUUAAAUUACUGGGUGGUCCUUGGUGGUUUGUGGUCUUCAUAUUUCUCUCCAGUAUGCUUUCAAACAGAAUGCUCAUAUUCACAAACGUACACUACACACACACAUACAGACCCUCAAAAUAUGAAUUUUCAUUUCAUUUUUUUCAGAGACUACAGCUGAGACAUAAUACCAUUACUCUCACAGACUAAAAAGGUUUCAACAGAUGUAAUAAUUUGGUGUUAUUUUAACUGUUGGCCAAGUAGUAACAAGAAAUUGCAGUAAAGAAAUGCCAAAGAUAUUUUUACUGUAAAGUAGAAAUUUGUCCAUUAGAGUGAGUGAUACAUCUUGGCGCCAGUUCCUUAAUACCCAAAUAUAUGGAAUACUUAUGAAAAUUAAAAUGUUUCCAAACAUUAUGCGUUUAUGUUGACUGAUUUUUUUGGACAGUUUGAAUUUGAGGAUAACUGAAACUUAAGGCAUCUGAAGCAUCCCCGGCACGGUUUCUGUGACUCAUCUAAGGCUCACCUCCCUGCAUACCCCUUUGCUAUGCAAAUAGCUGCUGAGCAGAUGACCUUUUUCACUGGAAAUAACAGGCAUGAAUAUGGAAAUAUAUGUAUCUGGUGACUUUGACCAACAAGCAGGGGUGCAUAAUUGUACUAUCAUCCACCCACAAAGCCUGAAAUUUUGAGAGUGUGACCUCCACUGUGAUUGUUAUGCCUAAAGAGAGAGAUAUACUUGCAGACUGUGUGUGGUGGUCGUGGACCGUGGAGGAUACUGAUCAAAGCUCAGGGCAACAGGGAGAGUCUUAAGAGGAUUGUUAUGCUAUGCCCUUGUGUGUGUCUUUGUACCUCUGUGCCUGUGUGCACACAGUAUGUGCGUAUAUUUCUGCUGGCACGCUGCUGUGUGUAUAUGGGUACUUAUACAUCUGUGUAUGUCAGUGUAUCUUUAUGCACCUCUGCCUCCAUAUGUCUUUGCAUAUGUCCACACUGCAUAUGACUUUGCACAUCUUUGUCUUGAGAUCAGAGAUGGUCAUAAAGGCAUGCACGGUGUAUGGAAACGAUUUGGCUCGGUGGAGCAACACUAUUAAGUAAAAAUUUGGGAGACAGAUUUCUUUGAUGUGUAAAAACUUAGAUGAUAUACAAUAUAAAAAGUAUAAUUGUUAGUAGUAUUACAGUGCAUAAUUUCCUUGGUGUUGGAACUAGAAUGAUUGGAGUUAAAAGCCAGUAGCAGAAGCAAAAACAUAAGAAAUAUUUAGUUUUAAUAAAUGUAAAUAGAUAUAAAUAUGAACAGCAGAGUUGAAUGUGUCAGAUACCAUCACUGCUAUUGUCCAUUGAGGUUCACCUGUGUUAAGUUGCAUUUGCAUGUGCUUGUGUCCUCUUUUAUAUCUGUGUACCUCAUCACAGACACCUACUACUUCAAUCAUGUCUGCACUGGUCCCUUCAUCAGAUCCUCACAAGCAAAGCCAGCACUAAGAGCUGCAUACUGAGAGCCAGAAGUCUUUUGGCGAGUGCGAUCCAGCUACACUCAUCUGCCCUGCAAUCACCUCAUUCCCCUCACCUGAGUUUCCCCACCCAUCUCCUCACCUGGAUCCCAUUUG